rnacentral:rRNA from 1 species
AUUGAACGCUGGCGGCAGGCCUAACACAUGCAAGUCGAACGAGUGGCGGACGGGUGAGUAAUGUGUGGGAAACUGCCCGAUGUAGGGGGAUAACAACUGGAAACAGUGGCUAAUACCGCCUACCAUCGGCUGUGCCCCGAUGGGAUUAGCUUGUGGGUGGGGUAACGGCUCACCUAGGCGACGAUCCCUAGCUGGUCUGCGAGGAUGACCAGUCACACUGGAACUGAGACACGGCCCAGACUCUUACGGGAGGCAGCAGUGGGGAAUAUUGGACAAUGGGCGAAAGCCGGAGCCAGCAAUGCCGCGUGUGUGAAGAAGGCCUUCGGAUUGUAAAGCACUUUAAGUUGGGAGGCGUUACCAACAGAAUAAGCACCGGCUAACUACGUGCCAGCAGCCGCGGUAAUUC